rnacentral:rRNA from 1 species
UAGAGUUUGAUCCUAGCUCAGGGUGAACGCUGGCGGCAUGGAUAAGGCAUGCAAGUCACGGGGACCGCAAGGUAACCGGCAGACGAGGUAGUAACACGUAGGAACGCACCCCGAAGUCUGGUAUAGCUCGCCGAAAGGCGGGGUAAUCCCAGAUAGUCCCGCAAGGGUAAAGGAGCAAUUCGCUUUGGGAGCGGCCUGCGUUGUAUCAGCUAGUUGGUGAGGUAAUGGCUCACCAAGGCUAUGACGCAUAGGGGACCUGAGAGGGUGACCCCCACCGAUGGAAUUGAGAUACGGUCCAUACUCCUACGGGAGGCUGCAGUCGAGAAUUUUCGGCAAUGGGCGAAAGCCUGACCGAGCGAUGCCGCGUGGUGGAUGAAGCGCUUCGGCGCGUAAACACCUUUUAUGAGGGAGAAAGCUGUUCGCAUCACACAGUGUGUGACGCGGAGAUACGAAUUAGGAGGUACGAGUUAGGAGAGCAAAUGCAUGUGCAUUCUUUUUCUUAUCUCUUAUUUCUUAUCUCUUAUAUCCGCAUCGCGCUCCGCGCGAUGCGAGCAGAUUGAUGUCACCUCAUGAAUAAGGGGCUCCUAACUCUGUGCCAGCAGGAGCGGUAAUACAGAGGCCCCAAGCGUUACCCGGAAUUACUGGGCGUAAAGAGUGCGUAGGUGGUCGUGUUAGUCGUUUGUUAAAUCUCCGGGCUCAACCUGGGAAUCGCGGGCGAAACGGCACGACUUGAGGGCGUGAGAGGUACAUGGAACUCAUGGUGUAGGGGUGAAAUCCGUUGAUAUCAUGGGGAACACCGAAAGCGAAGGCAAUGUACUGGCGCGUUCCUGACACUCAAGCACGAAAGCGUGGGUAGCGAACGGGAUUAGAUACCCCGGUAGUCCACGCCCUAAACUAUGUCCGCUGGCUUUUCGGAGUAUCGACCCUCUGAGAGGCGAAGCUAACGCGUUAAGCGGACCGCCUGGGUAGUACGAUCGCAAGAUUAAAACUCAAAGGAAUAGACGGGGGCUUGCACAAGCGGUGGAGC